GUAGGGCUUUCCCACCAGGGAGCCGUCCGACUCUGGUGAUUCCGCGGGAUUCAGACGCACUUGUCUCUCGUCCGAAGGACGCUGCAGCCGGUGGGGCACGGAAAGCGCGACGGCCUGAAGGCCGGGAGCCGGCAGGUGGCCAGUGGUUCGUCUAGGCGGAUCGUUGGUUGUUAGCCAUCCCCGGCAGUGGCUCGUCGCCCCACCGAGGUAUCACGAGGCCCCUUUGGGCUCCUCCGCCUCCUCCUCCAGGCAGCCGGGACAGACGUUCGCAGGCGAAGCUUUCCGACCCGAACCACUCUCUGGAGUGGCCGGGUGAGCGGGCCUCGCCGAUGGCGUUCGCGGACCCGUCGGAGGCCGGUGGCUGGCAGCGAGUAGGUCGGUCACCCACCCGACCCGUCUUGAAACACGGACCAAGGAGUCUAACAUGUGCGCGAGUCAAUGGGUCUUGAACAGGCCCAGGGGCGCAACGAAAGCGAAGGCCGUCGUCGACGGCCGAGUUGGGAUCCCUCCCCUCGAGGGGGGGGC
rnacentral:rRNA from 1 species